AGGCCGCCCAGAUGCAGACCCCGGAACCCCAGACUCUACCCCCUUCACCUGGCUGGGCUCCCAGCCCAAUCCUGUACUGGAAUUCUGGGGGAAUAGAUCAAGGCGGGGCUGGAGUACAGUGGCGAGAUCUCCACUCACCACUACCUCGACCUCCUGGGCUCAAGUGAUCCUCCCCUCUCAGCCUCCAGAGUAGCUGGGACUACAGGCCUGACUGCAGUCGAAGUUGGAUUUGGUUCUUGGCCUGGGAGUCCAGACCGUGGCCACCGCUGACCAGCUUGGGUGUCCUCCGUAGCCAGCAGAGGCCUGGCUUGGGACGGGUGCUCAGGGGAGAUUGGGUGAAUGAAUGAACCCCCAAGAGCCCAUCUGUUGGGACCCAGAGUGUGGCCCUGGGCCCCUGACCUCUCCCCCAGCCACCCCAGCCCCUUCGGCCCUGACCUGGCUGGGUUCCCGGUCCGUUUCCA